rnacentral:misc_RNA from 1 species
AAUCUCUGCAUUACACACGUCAAACUCUGGAGACCAAGGCUAAACUACAAGAUAAGCACCAAAGAUAGUCUAUGGACUGUUCAACAUGGCAUGAACAUAAUCCUUUUCACACAAAAAAUGAAAAAUAAAAAUUAUCAUUUCCAAGCUCUAACACUUUUGCAUUCGAAGGAUUCCAGAGGCUCUAUAUCUUAUUGCAAAGCGCACGAUAGCCAAUCUUCCUUCCCAACAAAUGAACCACCAUCGACAACUGCCAUUGCUUGCUAGCCUCACUUGCAACUCCCCGGAGACUGUCACUACCAUGGUAGAUCCCUUUCGCUCAAUCACUACAUCUUCCUCCCCCCACCACCACUUCUGCUUCCUUCAUAAGCGCAUCCCCUGGACCUCCAUUUCUUGCACCAUUCAUAACAGAAUCCUAAAUUACGAAAAGAGAUGUAAUGCCUCCUUA